GGAUCCAACAAGGAGAGCGCACGCUCUGCUUCCUCUCAAUCCAGAGAGUGAAGACAGCGACAUCUGUGUGGUUUCCCCAGUCUUUGACUUUCCAUCGCUUUUAUAAAUCAAUAUUAUUUACCCUUUUUAAAGCUAUUUACUGUGUAAAAAUUGUUUGGCUGAUGAGGCACCCAGGUGACGAUUUUCUGUCGAGUUGCCAGUCUCUAGUCCAUAGAUAUAUUUCAUAAAUAUAUAAUAAAUGUUAUGCUUAUUGAUGAUGACUACAGUUCACUUAAGCGGUUACGAAUGAUCUCCACUGUUUGUGUAUAUGAAGAGGUAGUAAGAGUAUAAAUACCCAUCUCCAUAACAUUACCUAUCACGUUUCACAUUUUCAGUUUUCUAGAUUAUACUGAUGUGUCGUCUUUUUUCCAGGCUAAUAUGUUUUGUCCUUACUGUGGACAAGAUCUGGGAACUAUCCAAGUGUUCUGUGGCUCGUGUGGCUCUAAUGUGCGAUUUUUGGCAGAAGAUGCAGACAAUGGGUCAGUAUCAGAUAUCCCCACAGAGGAGGAUCUUAUUCGUACAUACUUUAAUCACAGCCACAGCCAUGCUGAAAUGUUGGAUUUUUUGGCUUCAAAGCAUGAUGUGUACAUGAGCCUUCGCUCCCUGAAGAGAAAGCUGAAAAGUUUGUCUUUGUCCAGGCAAAAAGACUACUCUCCUCUUGCCACCGUUCAUGCUGCCAUACAGGAAGAGUUAAAGGGUCCAGGUCAACAUUAUGGCUACCGUUCAAUGUGGCAGACACUGCGCCUAAAGUACUCUCUUACAGUUAAGAGGGAUGAUGUUAUGGCCCUGAUGAGAGAACUUGAUCCUCAAGGAAUUCAACUACGUGCAAAUAGAAAAUUUGUAAGAAGAGUUUACACUUCUGAUGGACCAAACCAUGUCUGGCAUGUGGAUGGUUAUGACAAGUUAAAGCCCUAUGGUUUUGGACUAAGUGGCUGCAUAGAUGGAUAAUCUCGAAAAGUGCUGUGGUUGAGAUGUGGAGCAAGCAACAAUGACCCGGGGAUCAUUGUCCACAAUUAUCUGAACUGUCUGUCAGAUGGUGGACUCAUUCCAAUGCGACUUUGCACUGACUGUGGUACUGAAAACGGCACAAUGGUGGCAAUCCACUGUGCCUUAAGGUCAUCUCACACUGACAACUAUGCUGGGGCUGCCAGUCAUUUGUACGGCUCUUCAACGGCAAACCAAAGGAUUGAAAGCUGGUGGUCAUAUUUCCGCAAGCAGUGGUCUCAAUUUUGGAUGGACCUUCUGAAUGAUCUCACAGAGAAAAAGCUCUUCAAUGGUAGUCAUCAGCACACAUGCCUGCUGCGAUUUGUGUUUAUGGAUGUGCUACAAAGGGACCUUGAUGAAUGCAGAGAAAAGUGGAAAGCUCAUACAAUCAGACCUGUUAAACAGUCUCAUUGUCCAUCUGGUAAACCAGAGGUCAUGUACAACCUACCUCACAGGUUUGGUGGAACUGACUGUGGGUUUCCAGUUUCACCGGAGAAACUGCGACCAUUUGAGAUGGAGGCAACACACAGUCCAUGUGGAGAUCGCCAUCUCCAGUCACACUUUGAGGAUCUACAGAGAUAAGGUGGUCUAAUGCAGCCAAUGACCUGGGAGACCUGUGUGGAACUUUAUAUCACAUUGAAGAACAUGGCUGAUUUGUAACAGAACUGAAAAUACAGGUUCUGCUGCAUGGGAAGCGAGAGUCCCUCUAAAACACCAGCUUUGGUCUUGGCUUAAUUCCAGAUGGGGGCAGAGAACUGAGUCCUGUGGCAAACAUCAUGAUGUCAGAGAGGGAGAGUCCUGUUUGUUUACCUGAAGAAAGAAAAGCAUUAUUGAGCUUGUUAUAAAAUUUGUUUUUUUAUUAAAGCUGUCAUUCAUAAAGAUGAGAGAAAUGGGAACAACUGUAUGACAUGCUAUUUUAAUAAACCUUCUGUAUCGAGGAGAUAGUCUCUCCAGAAUGCCA